AAAUGAAAGGAAAUCAAGAUAAGGUGAAGAGGAGAUCAGUUGCCUCUGCAGAAGGUGUCUGAGAAGGUGAUGUUGAAAGCUUUGCUUCUCCUUGUGCUUCUCCUCUUCCCCCAUAAGUCAUCUGAGAAGACUGCUUAAAUAUUCCACGCUGCCUUAGUGUGACUGAAAUUUCCAGCUGUUUUGCUGCCAGGAAGAACCGGGUGCCUUGGGAACAGUGAGGCUGAAAGGAGCAGGAAG
rnacentral:lncRNA from 1 species